AUAGCGGGCCUUUCAGGCAUCCUCUCCUAAAACUUUCACGGUCGGUCCUUCGGGACCGGCCUUUUUUUUGCCCAUG
rnacentral:sRNA from 1 species